rnacentral:piRNA from 1 species
UCAUUUCGUCAAUGAUAUGAUCGCUUUGC